AUGACAUUUUUGUGUCGUUUGGGCGGCCGAAAUGUUGGCRAAAUCCCUGUGUUGUUGCGUGGUCGAAUGCCGCGUUGCUAUCACUUGGAUUUUUGCCGGCUCUCACGGAUGCGGUGCCUAGUGCUAGCUCUGCGGGACKUUGCCCCGCAGACYUCGGGAGGUCCCCUGUACGGACCAUUGCUCUCAUACGCCGUUUGUCGUGUCGCCACCGCGACACGCAGAUCGUGUUCUUUCGUGCAGUCCGUGACAGCACGUCAGCGAACAUUAGUGUCCGGAGCGUGGUCUUGUGCCGGUGGAGUGCCUCUCCGAUCGUAUGAGCGGCGAUUUCCGGUUCGCGUCGCGCGAAGGCCCGCCCGUCCGGGUCGGUGCCGGAGCGGAUGCGCCGGCU
rnacentral:misc_RNA from 1 species